rnacentral:lncRNA from 1 species
AGGCGGAAGUCAUCUGCUGUAGAAGCUCGGAUGAAAACUUUUUGUUGGAGAAGUCCGGUGGGAGUCCGAUUGCUAAAGAAGUCCGUUUGGAAUUUGCCUGGUGUGGAAGCUCGUCUGAAGAUUGUCCACCGGAGAGGUCCGAUUUCAUAAGGAAUCCGACAGAGGGUCGACCGACAGUGAAAUUCAGAUGGCGCUGUGGAGGUUCGUCCGCUGGAGGAGUCUUGAGGAUACUGUGGA